rnacentral:rRNA from 1 species
AUUGAACGCUGGCGGCAGGCCUAACACAUGCAAGUCGAACGGUAGCACAGAGAGCUCGCUCUCGGGUGACGAGUGGCGGACGGGUGAGUAAUGUCUGGGAAACUGCCCGAUGGAGGGGGAUAACUACUGGAAACGGUAGCUAAUACCGCAUAACGUCGCAAGACCAAAGUGGGGGACCUUCGGGCCUCACUCCAUCGGAUGUGCCCAGAUGGGAUUAGCUAGUAGGUGGGGUAAUGGCUCACCUAGGCGACGAUCCCUAGCUGGUCUGAGAGGAUGAGCAGCCACACUGGAACUGGGACACGGUCCAGACUCCUACGCGAGGCAGCAGUGGGGAAUAUUGCACAAUGGGCGCAAGCCUGAUGCAGCCAUGCCGCGUGUAUGAAGAAGGCCUUCGGGUUGUAAAGUACUUUCAGCGGGGAGGAAGGCGGUGAAGUUAAUAACUUCACCGAUUGACGUUACCCGCAGAAGAAGCACCGGCUAACUCCGUGCCAGCCGCCGCGGUAA